CAACGCUAAAGAGAACUGCACGCCUGCUGCAGCUGACGUUUUCCUUGACAAGCAGGACGGUGCGAGAGCCCUUCGUGAUCUGUGCGACCCACACCAUGUCCCCUUGGGACGAAGGCGCUGACUACGACGUUUCGCACGGCCAACUACUACGUCAAUGGGCGCCAGGUACGCGGCUACCACAUGGUCAACUUGGCUCUGCACUGCGCACGCUCCGUUCUGGUGGCCAUCGUCGCACACUGCGUGAUGCGGAUGCCUGCCCUCCACGCGUGCCUGGCAGCGACGCUGUUCGCUGCGCAUCCGGUCCACACUGAGGCCAGUUACGAAGCGGCUAUACGUCUCGAUCCAGAGCUCGCUCAUGCUCAUCUGAACCUUGCCGUGAUAAGGCACUUAGAGAGUGACUAUCGAUGAGCAUUUCGACACUACCAAGUCGCCCUGUCUCUCGAUCCAAAGAACAAGCUCAUCAUAGACAACAUGGCCAAGUUAAGGCGGCGAAUCACUAAGCCACUGCCUUUCCAUGAAUGCGUUUAGAGCGGACGCACAGUCAACAUGCGCUUACUCUGUGGCUUUUUUGUCUAUAGCGACAUUCAUGUUUUGAUGGCAUAUUCCGACUAUAUUCACACUACAUUGAUUUAUAGGUUUCGCAACAUUGCCAUUGAAGACACAAAUGUCCGGUAAAUGCAGUUCAAAGGUGGCAUGAUGAUAUCAAGAGUCGUUAACAACGAUUCCAUCGUCUGAAUUUUUUAUUUGGCAAAAGUUAUGCCCUCGAACAACCCGUCUCAUUCCAGGGUGAUGUGAUGAUUAGCAGAUGUGAUCAACACUGAAAUUUUCUAUGCCUGAUUGGAAAUAUCCUAACUUUCCAGAAGUGUUGCUGAAAGACAAUUCAAUUUCUUGCCUGCAAAUAGCAAACCGCAGGGAACAGCCUAUGCCAUACAUGACUUCUUGUAAACGCGUUGUGUGAUUAGUGAUGCCGGCGUACUAUAUUGCUGUGUGAUUUACGCAAUUCAGUGAAUUUCGCUAUUGGUUUCCUGCAGUACUUUCUAAAUUUUCGUUUUAAUCUUACCUUUUCUGCCUUUGUUUAGUGUGUCGAAAAAAAAAUGUUUACCAUAGCUCAGCCUAAUGAGUACUUCUGAUUACGCGAAUACUCUUAGGCAGACGUUGGCGGCUUCUACAGCGAAUAUGAGCCAAAGUGAGUAAAGAAUAUGAUCCUCUCGCGCAUAGCCCUGUCUUUACGCCUUCUCGAGCAGAAAAAAAGUAUGAGAAACGGAACACUUGUUACGGAUUCUGCCAUGCAUGCCAGCGUGUUUAUUUGGCCUUUCCUUGCCACAUUCUCAGUGAAUUUCGGUUAAGGGAAGUAGAAGUUCUUUGAGUGGUGGCAUGAGACGAUGCAACAUUGUGCCUAGAUUUAAGAUUCUUAUGGUAGUGUAUGCGACAUGGCAAUGCUACUGUCAAAGUAUGACAGAUUUGCUGAGACGUAUCGCGGUGUAAGUGGACGUGAUGGACCGUUUCAUGGGCGCUUCCGGAUUGAGCGCAAGGAAACGAGGUCGUCCGAAGUGACAACGGAAGCAUACAAUGAAAUAAAAUGUCUGAUGUUGUCUUCACAACGCAGUCCGCUUAAAUACACAGUGUAUUUAUUCGCCUAGGCUGGAAGUGUCGGUGAAGUUGCCUUUUUUUUUUGGUAAGGGGGCAUGAUUCAGAAAAGAGCCUAAGACAACUCUUUGUUCUUCAAUAUCGGUGACACGGUUUUGGGUAAUUAAGAAUGGUAGGUAAAAAAGGAAUUCUCUUAAUUUGUUGAAAUGAUGUAUUUAUUCCCGUAAAAUAUGAAUGGUGCACAAGCAGACACAUGCAUGCGUACGGCCAGAAAUUAUGUGUUUAUACCUAGCUGUU